rnacentral:lncRNA from 1 species
AGACUGCUGUGCUAGCAAUCAGCGAGACUCCGUGGGCGUAGGACCCUCCGAGCCAGGUGUGGGAUAUAGUCUCGUGGUGCGCCGUUUUUUAAGCCCGUCGGAAAAGCGCAGUAUUCGGGUGGGAGUGACCCGAUUUUCCAGGUGCGUCCGUCACCCCUUUCUUUGACUCGGAAAGGGAACUCCCUGACCCCUUGCGCUUCCCAAGUGAGGCAAUGCCUCGCCCUGCUUCGGCUCGCGCACGGUGCGCGCACCCACUGACCUGCGCCCACUGUCUGGCACUCCCUAGAGAGAUGAACCCGGUACCUCAGAUGGAAAUGCAGAAAUCACCGUCUUCUGCGUCGCUCACGCUGGGAGCUGUAGACCAGAGCUGUUCCUAUUCGGCCAUCUUGGCUCCUUAUUCUCAUUACCUUCUUGAGUUGUGGCUCAGACACUACAACAGAGCUCUGUCACCUCUUUCUAAAAGCUGGGAAAUGGUUAUUGUCAACGCCAGCCCCAUUUUGGAGGCACCUGGUUGCAGGGGACCACAGCUAGCUGGGUGCGGUGGCUCAGGACUGUAAUUCCAGCUACAUGAGAGGAUUGCCUGAGGCCAGGAGUUUGAGACCAGCCUGAACAACAUAAUAGACUGGGAGCUCCAUGAGGUCCGAGACAACCUGAAGACGCCCAGCUCAGCAGAGACUGGCUACGGCAAUCACUCAGUAACUAUUUGUUGAAUUGGACAUAAUAGAAGAGCUGAAGAAUUUUAAACAAGUCACCAUCAGUGCAGUGGAUUCCUCAAAGCAAACCUGGAAAUCUCGGCAUGAGUUGGAUUUAAGGCAGUACAUUUUCAGCUCCUGAAAAUUUGAACAGUUUCUCAAGAGAACAACUUGAAACAGAAAGGCAAGGAUGUAGAUGUGGUUGUAGAAGAUGAUGUCUGCGGCCACCAAACUGUCCACUGUGAAGACAAACCAUGCAUGUUUAGUAGGCAGUGGCUCCUCUUCCCUGUGGGGAGUCCCACUGCUUCCCUGGCCUGGGUGUUCUCUGCCGGUAGAUGUUAUUGACAAAAUAAGCAAAGUCCUCUGAUUCUGAGAAUUAGAGUUAAUGAUAGCUCUAGAUUGCCUCUGCCAUGCUAUUUAAAGUCCUGCUUUAUUGUCUGACAUGAGUUCGGCAUCUAUGAGGACUUGUCCAGUGCAAAGUACAAUCUCCACUGAAAGAUAUCACCAGCACAUCUUGUCACUGUGCUGUAGCAAGCUGGGCAGUACAAUGAUGUUGGCAGGAUCCUGUUUAGGUGGAGGAUGGCCACCUGGGCAUCAAGAAUCUUCUACCCUGAUUCCACAUUGACUCCCCAAAGUGGGCUUCAGACAGCUCUUUACUUACGUCUUCUGAUUAAAGCAGCAGACAGGGUCCCAGCUAGAGAAAAGUUCUGGGAGCAGGAGAGGUGUUGGUGGCUUUAAAACCAGGGGUGAAGAUUGAAUUAGGAGGUUAGGCAGGAGUAGGAUCAAAGACUUAGAAAAUGCUUGUUUCCUCCUAUUAUUCUUAUGAGAGCUGAUACGGGGCUUUCAGUUUUGGGGGAGAGCCUUGGAAGAGAAUGAGGGAAUUUAAUCAACUAGCGGGACCUUUCCAACUUACAUUUCCCAGUGUUUGUUGGAUGAUACGUUUGCCUAAUAAGUUAAAGCUUCCAAAAAUAGAAAGGAAAGCUUGGUGACACUAAGCUCUGGCAUGCUGUCAUCUUCUGGCUAGGGGUCUUGUGCUUCUGUUUUUCUAUUUCUGACCAAAGACAUAAAAUGUGUUGUGACCUCUCAGGUAAUGCUGUGGUAUCAUGUCCAAGCAGUAACUAACCAGAGUGGAGUUUUUACAGGUAAAAAAGUAUUGAAUAGCUCAGCAACAGGGAGGACUUAAUGAUAAAUUGCUUUUUCAGAAAAUGACAAGGGGACAGACACUUGCGGUUCUUCCAUUGAGAGCCUUAAGGAAGUUAAGCGAAGCCUCUGCUCACCCCUUCAAGUAACGAUGACCCAUCAGAUCGUGGUCAUAACCAGUAGCAUCUGAGGCACCCCUAAGCUCUCUGGGCCCCAGAUUCCUUGUUAAGUUAAAUGAGGUGACUUCCCAGUUUACCAUUCUAGGGGUUCCUGAGGAGUUAAAAAUGAAGGAGAAAAUGCAACAUGUACCAAGUGAGCAAGAGCUCAAGGCUUAUCUCUGGCACGAAAGUGACCGCUGUCCGUUAGAGAUGUGAUUGCCCUAGAUUUCCUUUAGGAAAUGCAAACAUUGAACUCUGGCCUUCAGGACCCAAGUCCCGGCUUGCAUCUAUUCUAUACACUUUCUGUUAUUUGUUAGGGCUCACAAGGAACAGUUAUUUAUCUUUUAUUUUCUAUUUUUUUUUUAGAGAUGGAGUCUCACUCUGUCUCCCAGGCUGGAGUGCAGUGGUGCCAUCUCAGCUCACUGCAACCUCCACCUCCCGGGUUCAAGCAAUUCUCCUGUCUCAGCCUCCUGAGUAGCUGGGACUACAGGCGUGUGCCAUCAUGCCCGGCUAAUUUUUAGUAUUUUUAGUAGAGGCAGGGUUUCACCAUAUUGGCCAGGCUGGUCUUGAACUCCUG